rnacentral:rRNA from 1 species
UACGGAGGUGGCAAGCGUUGCUCGGAAUCACUGGGCGUAAAGGGCGCGUAGGCGGGGAGGUAAGUCGGGUGUGAAAUCCCUCGGCCCAACCGAGGAACUGCGCCCGAGACUGCUUCUCUUGAGUCCCGGAGAGGAAGAUGGAAUUCCCGGUGUAGCGGUGAAAUGCGUAGAUAUCAAGUGGAACACCAGUGGCGAAGGCGAGUCUCUGGACAUUUCCUGACGCUGAGGCACGAAAGCCAGGGGAGCAAACGGG